AAUAAAAACUAUAAUACUAAUAUAUAUAAUAUGAUAAUAAUUAUAUAUUAAAAAUAUAAAAAAUGUAAAAUAAAAAUAUAUAUAUAAUAUUUUUUAAUUUUUUUUUCCUUUCAACUAAACAUCCGUAGUGAAAAACUACUUUUCUUUUCCUACAAACUAAACAUAAACGACGUAAAAUAUUUUUUUCACCAAAAUUUUUUUUUUCACAGUUUUACGUGGAACCAAACACACCCUUAGGGAGAUUCCCAUCAUACAAUUUUAACUGUUCAAUAUAAGAAUAUGAUUAAUAUAAAAAUAUAAAAAAUAUUAUUUUUUAUCAGCUUAAGUAAUUAGAGAUUAAUGGUUGCUCCAUAUGCUUUAACAUUA
rnacentral:lncRNA from 1 species